AUGUGUCCUCCACUUGGUACACCAACAGAAAUGAACUACAGUAUCAGCGAUUCUUGGAGCGAUGAGGAACUUGUGCGAUUCUUGGCAGAGAGGAAGGCCGACGACUCCCUGCCAGAGAACGUACUUGUGGGCAUGGACCUUACUCUCAUUCAUCCACGGGAUUCCUCCCCUGGGAACAUAUGGUACCUGAACCAGUCAGAUGAUCAGCAGCCCUAUGGCAAUGGCGAGUCAGAUAUUAGAAAGGCAAAAGGUGGAUACUGGAAGUGCAUAGAUGUUCUCAGAAUACCAACAAGUAAAUCUACUGCUGGUGUGAAAUUUAGUCUGGAGUUUUAUGAAGGCGAAGCACCAUCUGGUAAGAGAACUCAGUGGUUGAUGCAUGAAUAUCAGGUAGAACAGAAUGAUGAUGCUAAUGUACCACAGGAGUACAAGUCUUUGUGUACAAUAUUCAUGCAGGGGAGCAAAAAGUUAAAUACUGAAGAUGAACUGCUAUCUCUGAGUACUAAUGCUCCUAAUGAUCACUUGGAAUCUUAUCUUCAAUAUCUUGCUGACAUGGAAGAGCAGAAUGUUGCGGUAAACUCAAAGAUUGUAUCUUCAAGCAAGCAAAAUAGCUCUUCCAGAGAAGGAAAAGACAUUUAUGAAGAUUAUAGUGCUGCAGAUGGCGUAGAUUUUGUGAAUGCUCUUGCUAAUGAGGACUACAUAGAAAUGAAAGAUCUAUUAAGCUCAGAUGGCUCUGCAUCGACUUCCGAAUUUUCAAGUAGACGGUCUGAAGAGUACUUUGACUCUGAUGCAUUACUGAGGGAGCUUUUGAAUGACCAAAACACAACUAGAGAAGUACAUCAGGACUGCAAUCAUAACAUAGCUGGACCUACUAAAUCUGAUUGCAUGGUUAUCAGUCCACCAGAACAAGGGUUUGUUCACAACCAUGAUAAUGGUGCCAUGGUGGCUGGAACAUCACUGGAAAAGGCAGUGUCAGAUUCUGAAAGAGAUCAACAUUCGAGCGAGCAGUGUCUGGAUCACCAUCCUCCCGCGUCUUCCUGUUCUCAGAACAGCCAUGUAGAACAAAGCCAUUCAAAUAGUUCUGGCAGCUCGCAUGGAAGCACCACGUCUCCCCAGAGAAGUCGAUCUAUCGGUAAACUUGGAAAGAUAGGAAAGAAGUACUGCUGCUUGGGAUCAUUCUAG
rnacentral:rRNA from 1 species